UACCCGGUGGUGUAAUGGUAACACUACGGAUUUUGGCUCCGUCAUUCUAGGUUCGAAUCCUAGCCGGGUAG
rnacentral:tRNA from 1 species